AUGUUAAGACAAUUUAUUUAAACAUGUCAAAUAUUUAUGAUAAAUAUUAUGUAAUUAAUAAAAAAGAAAAAAAAAAAAAAAAAUUCCAAGCGUUUAUUUUGUGUAUCAACAUAUUUAGUUUUUAAUUAACCUAUCACUUGGGUUUUUACAUAAAUAGUUAUUUAAGUUUUACAUCUUCGUCCUUAUUUCUUAAUCCAUCUGUUUAUCUACCUAUUUAUUUAUUUAUUUUAUUUUAUUUUAUUUUAUUUUAUUUUUUUUUUUUUUGUUUUAUUUUUGCUAGUCUCUAAAGCCGUUUAUAUCUCUUGUUGGAAAUAAAUCAGGUUAUAAUUUUUUAUUUUUCCAAAUUUUUUCAUUUUUUUACCUUUAGUGAUUAAUACACAAAAGAAACACAUUCUAUGUAUUGUGCAUAUAUUUUUUUAUGUUUAUGUUUAUAUAUAGAUUUGGUAAAGAAGAUUGUGAAUUAGUUAGGCAAGCAGAACACUUCGCGUGAGUAUAGUUUUUAAUUAUUAUUUAACUUAAAAAAAUAUAUAACAUAUAAACAUAUGCAUAUAAACAUGUGCAUAUAAACAUAUACAUAUACAUAAAUAUAUAUAUACGUAUUAACAUGUUCAUAUGUGUACGAACACAUGUAUAAUUUUACCCUUCUUAAAAGGACCGAACACUUGGUACAAUUAUGGCUCGUAUCAUCGCUUACAGGGAAAAAUGUUAAGAAGUUAUUCUUACAUAUGGUUAACAUGGUUUUCAAUAACACGAAUUUGUGGAAAUACGAUAUGGAAGAUGUAAUAUAUACAUAUACAUGUAUUUACGUUUACACAUAUAUAUAUAUUUACAUGUACAUAUAUGAAUGAAUAAACAUUUCCUCCCCCCCAUUCUUUUCUUUUUUCAGUCUGGAUCCGAAUCUUCAGAAAAUUAAAAUUAAAAAAAAAUAAAAUAAAAUAAAAACCUAAGCA
rnacentral:lncRNA from 1 species